rnacentral:lncRNA from 1 species
AUGGGGGAUACUGAUGUUCAGAUGGAGAGUACUGAGCAAAUGCAGGAGCCUCACGCUUCAAGCUCGGACAACAAAAUCGACUUGUCAUUAGAUGACAUUAUAAAGUUGAAUAAGAAGGAACUGAAUGCGAGCCGAGCUAAAACUAAACGAGCUGCUAACAGGAACAACGUCUUGAAGAAACUCAACCAGGUUCCCCAGCAGCAGAGGGGACUCAGACGAGGAGCACAGCAGUACCGAGGGCAUGGCAGGGCGAGAGGUUUGAGGAGACAAAUGGGAUCCGGGAGGGACAUGAUGUCAAGAAGGGGUUCAUUAAAUAUAGCUGCUGCCACUGUCACGAGUGGUGAACUGUUUGAUCAGACCACAUUCACAUCAAGGGGGACAUUCAGAGGAAGAGGAAGAGGGAGAGGAAGAGGAGGCGGACUGAGCAGGGGUGCAUUGUCAGCAAGAGGACAGAGGGGUGGAAGACCAUUUCUAUUAGACAGAGGGUUUACUGCUACAAACAGAGCUGAGAAAUUACAAAGGUAUCAGACGAUAAGAAGUCGAAGAACAGCACCAUCUGGCUCCAUGCUCACAGUUUCUCUGCCAAAUGCUAAAUCUGCACCUGUCGAGAAUACAUCUAAUCAGGCUAGGAGGGGUGGGGCAGUGUUAAGGGGCAGAUCAUCUGGAGGUGCUGGUACUUCUUCACCUAAGGGGAUUCCUCUGCAGUUUAACUACAAAGCAGCCACUAACCAGACUGCCGUAUACCUUAAUGACCGUUUCACUGACCUGAGGUUAAGAGGGCGAGGACGGGGCUGGGGAAGAGGAAGAGGAGCUCUUGGAGGAGGUGGAAGAGGCAGAGGAAGAGGAAAUAUCAUUGGUGGUGGACGAGGUAGAGGACAAGGAAACAUUAUAGGUGGUGGACGAGGCAGCGGAAGAGGAAAUAUCGUUGGUGGUGGACGAGGAAGAGGACAAGGAAACAUUAUGGGUGGUGGCAGAGGCAGAGGAAGGGGUGGGUUUGGUGUGACAAGAGGAGGAAGAGGCUUGAGAAGAGGGAGGGGAGGAUCAAGAGGAGGCGAUCGAACAGUAACUCUUCAGUGAUUACAAUUACAACCAUUCAGUUUUAUGAAGUAGUAGUGUUUACUGUUUGUGCUGCACUGAAAUUUCCACAACCAAUAAUAUUGGGGCGAAACAGAAAAAAAGAAAUCAGUUUAAUCUGAAAUAGUUUUGGAGGCCCGAAAUCAGUGACGUUUAACUACAGCUGGUAACAGUCCAUUUACCAAAAUUUAACUGACACAACUUUUUUUAAGCUUCAGUUUUCAGGUAAUUGUUUAGUUUUGCUAAUAAUAAAAAAAAAAUAUAUAUAUAUAUAUAUAUAUAUAUAUAUAUAUAUAUAUAUAUAAUUUGGGUGCAUCUCUUUUUGCUGUAAUGAUGUCGUUCAACUAAAUAUUUAAAAGAUUUCUGUCAGUGUACAAACAAAAAUUUUCCUUUUUGAAGUAAAUUAUUUGAUUGUUAUAUGAUGAAGGUUUUUAUAGUUUUAGGUUAUGGAAAAAUAUAAUUAUGAAUGGUACCUCAGAGGGUAAUAAAAUGAAAGUUGUUUACAUUUUAUAUCAUCAUGUCAAUAAACACCAAACAAUGAACUCCAUGUCAUUCCAAAUAUAUUCAAUUCAAGUUUAUUUGUAUAGCGCUUUUUACAAAACAAAUCCUUACAAAGCAACUUUACUGAAAAUUAAGUUUCUACAAUAUUUAGUAGUAGCUUAUAAGUGGUGACUGUCAGUUUGUGCACGUAUGACAGGAUUUUCCAGAAAAAAAUAAUACAAGACGUAGUCAGCCAGACGAUGAACAUUAUUAACCGCAAAUUAUUAUAUGAUGCAGUCACACUUGUAGCAAUAUUUGUUAGUUCUGUUGUUGAUUCAGGGUUAUCAUCACCUGGGGUCCUCUGAGGGUCAGCAUCAUCUCUUCUCAGGUGUUCUGGAUCCAGACUGGAGCUUGUGUAAAUCCUAGUUACAAAACAGAGAAACAAAUAGAGACAUCAUUAGCAUAGCUGCUGUUCCAACAAAGUAAAAUUAAUUAGUUCAACCCAAGCUAAUGAAUAAAAAUGCACAUUUGAUCAGAUGCAACUACACUCACAAUUUAAGAGAUACAUUAUUUGUAUGCUUGGCGAAAGAGAUGUGUUUUUAAUCUAGAUUUAAACAGAGAGAGUGUGUCUGAACCCCGAACAUUAUCAGGAAGGCUAUUCCAGAGUUUGGGAGCCAAAUGUGAGAAAGCUCUACCUCCUUUAGUGGACUUUGCUAUCCUAGGGACUACCAAAAGUCCAGCGUUUUGUGACCUUAGGGUGCGUGAUGGGUUGUAGCGUGGUAGAAGGCUAGUUAGGUACGCUGGAGCUAAACUAUUUAGGGCCUUAUAGGUAAGUAAUGAUAAUUUGUAACUGAUACGGAACUUAAAGGGACAAUAAGUAACUUUUUAGGUAUUUUAUUAUCUAAAAUCAAUGUUUUUAUUCAUAAAUAUUAGUGAUGGGAAGUUCGGAUCAUUUUACCGACUCGGACUUUUGAGUCUCGUUCAGCAAAAUGAACGAAUCUUUUUUCGAGUCAUUUCGUUCAUUUCGUUCAUUUUAGCAAAAUGUUAUUAAAAUAUUAAGUGCUACCUCCCCAACACAUCUAGUACUUACGCAAACGUUGAUCACACUAAAAACAAUACAAAACUAAAAUGCUAUGAGAUAAAGAAAAAAAUACUCAUUCUUUACCUGGGUCUUCAGUCUGUGAUUAGCUCAUCUCACCUCUUAUCUGACAAGAAGUCUUCGGGUCUAAGUCAUUCCUUAAUCGCGUGACAGCCCCAUACGCAAAACUAACGCGGUCUCGAGCCGGAAAGAGAAUUGAUUAGUUCAUCUCAUGAGUCUUUCGGGUCGAGUUUGACUCGUUCCUUAAUCACGUGACAGCCCCAUACGCUAUUUCUGACAUUUCUGUCACUGUGUUUUUGUUACUGUUUGUUGAGGAUCUGUGGUUUGUUAUUAUUUUAUAAAUAAAUAAAACCCUGGUAUAAAUAAAAUUUUGAUUAAUUUGUCUUCUUGACUUUCUAUCGGUAAAUAAACACUAGGCUAUAUAAUAA